AUAUUCUAUACGUCGCCAUUUCAUAAUUAUUCAAAGUAAUUAAAAAUCACAAGAUGUCAAGGAAAAAAGUUCUAAAACAGUGUUCGAGCCAGGAAGCUUUGGUUUUGAUGCAUCAACUCAAAGAUUAUUCUAAGCAAGAAUGUAGUCAAAAUAACAAUUUCCAAAUUGAUCUGCGAAGAAGAUAGCACGUGGUUUGAUAGCACUGCAUAGCAGAUUGGAUUCUAAUAGCAUAACGGGUUAUUACUUGGAUAAAUGGAGACAAUCCGGAGAGAAGAUAGUCAUUUUGGAGGGAAUUAAUAAUAAGCAUUUAAAAUAUCUUUACAACAAAACCAAAUAUUUUGCUCUCGACUUGCAUAAGCUCUACGAACGAUGGUCAAAUGGAAAAGAAAUUGUAGUCUUAACAGUAUUUGGAAUGCAGGAAGAUAUACAAGAAUUUUUUGAAGCACUAAUACCUUACGGUACAAUAAAAAUCACCUAUUAGAAAUACAUAUGUAUGUAUGCGUUUGUACAAAUAUUUUUCAUGUGUACUUUACGAUGAAAUGCACACAUUAUAUUUUUUAUUUAUUGCACUUAUUAGAAAUCUAUUGUAAUAAUUCAAAGAACAUUUUUAUCAGUUAAUAGAACAAAAUACUAAUAGUGCAAGAAUUGAAAUUUACUAACUUAAUGUUCAUAUUACAUAAAUAUUUAUAAUGCAAUGACGCAUCGACCGCCGAUAUCCUUACAUGCUAAUCCACAUUGAUUCUAUGUAUCAGUGGAACAGGUAGUUAAAUUCUUCAUGCAAUCUGCUUCUGUAUUCUAACUAAUUAAAAAAAUAUGUCACUCAUUCUUGUAACGUAGCAUACCGAGAAGAUAAACGUAGCACAUUGAGGAUGAUACUAAAAAAUACAAUUUCAGUUAAAAACUUAUGAAUUACCGAUGUGUUAAACCUUUCGAAAAAUAUAUUAGAUUUUAUCAUCCGAGUAUCUUAAAAACUACCAAUCAAAAAUAUCAAAUAAAAUUGAUUAGAAUUUAAUUAUAAUCGUUCGUAGGAGAUAGAAAAAGAAAAAAGAUAUUGAAAAUAUAAAGGCAAACAAAUGAAAUAUAUAAAGCAGUAAUAAUAAUGGUAGUAUAAUAAGAAUAAGAAAAGACGAGGAAGAAAGGAGCUGUCGUUGCAAGAUGCAAAAGGCUAUCCACAGGCGAAGAAGAGGCGCCACGCCCGCCCCUCCAUGCUCUGCGAAAGCUACUCGCCUCGUCGAUGGUCGUUGAAGAGGGAAGGGGUAAAAGAGGGAGUCAGUUGUUCGGCGCAGCCGCCCGCCGCGUUUUAUGCAACCAGUCGUGCUUCGGAGCGAACGAAUCUACUACCCCGGUCUCCUUUGACAGACGGGGAAGCGCGUGCGGUUCUCGUACCAACUCCUAUACCGUAUCUCGAGAUCGGGGAAUUGACUACGCUCCGUCCGAUUCGAGCACGUACGAGUCGCGUUUCCGGCGAUAAUCAUUUGAAGAAAAACCUAGCACUUGUGAAAUAUCCUUAUCGAGUUCCGAAGAACUAUAUUCUUGAAGAAGGUGCUAAGAACGUAGGCGAAACGUACGAGGAAGAAGGAACGAGCAGAUCGUCGAGCGAGUAGCUUGAAAACACCAGGAGCUAAAGGAAGGCAAGGUCGUAGAAAGGCGGUGUCGGUGUUGUGUUUCCGCUAGAUCUGAAAGGGUUAUAGAUAUAUAUUCUCUCCGAAGACCAAAAGACGAACGUAUUUGGGAACGAGACACACAUUCUUCUUCUCCCUUCUUCUCUACCGACGGAGAGAGAAACGUUAGCCUAAGAUUUUCCUCAAAGGUCUCCGUAAAUGAUCUCGUGGAACGAGCCCGUGAACUAGCGAUAUACGACAAGAAUCCCGAUGUGUCAACGCGGCUGCAUUAUAGCCACGACUACUUCUCUGUGCUUCGCACUAUCUAAUCCCGCCGCGUAUACGUGUGUCGUUCUCGUCCGCGUCGUGUGACGUGUGCGUGAGGAAGAGGAAGAGGAAGAGGAAGAGAAAGAGAAAGAGAAGAGUAGAGUGGAGAAGAGAGAGAGAGAGAGAGAAAAAGAAAAAGGAGCGGGCUAACCGGCACGGAAUACGUGAUAGAGCGAGAGAGGCGUCUACAUAGACGGACGUGAAGACGGUAUACGAGACUACGUUCACGCCGUACUUUCCGUCUCGCUCCGACCCGGUGGUUUUUUUUCUCUCUCUCUCUUUCUCUCUGUUCGGAAAAUCUUGUUAUUUGUCGAAAAGCCAAGAAUAAUACAAAAAUAUAGAAGCGAGCAUCGAAGAAAAUCAACGAGACGACAACAACACCACCACAACCGACGGAAACGACGACGACGGAAACGACGACAACAACAACAACAACAAUAAU